UACGGAGGAUGCAAGCGUUAUCCGGAAUUAUUGGGCGUAAAGCGUCCGUAGGUGGUCGUUCAAGUCUGUUGUCAAAGCGUGCGGCUCAACCGCAUACGGGCAAUGGAAACUGGAUGACUUGAGUGCGAUAGGGGUGACAGGAAUUCCCGGUGUAGCGGUGAAAUGCGUAGAUAUCAGGAGGAACACCGGUGGCGAAGGCGGGUCUCUGGGCCGAUACUGACGCUGAGGAGCGAAAGCGUGGGGAGCAAACAGG
rnacentral:rRNA from 1 species